rnacentral:lncRNA from 1 species
GGCAGAGGGGCCCAGUCUAGUCUGUGACCUGAGCCAUCAUGGUAGGGUGUCCAGGGUGAGGGGAGGGUGGUGUGAAUCCCCAGUAAUGCAGGUCCUUUCCAGGCCAGGCCCCUGGUCCCCAGGAGUGCGGGGAUGCCUGAGGUCUACUGCUGCCUUAUCCAGAGCUGCCAUCCCCGGCGAUGACUCAGAGUUCCUGUGGCCCCAGCAUCAUCCCUCCAUCCCUGGCUGUGAGGCAGGAGCAGAGUUGCAGACCUGAGAGGCCUUGAAUUUGUUUGAUAUAGGACUUUGCCACCAGACAAAGUGCUUUGCCUGUGAGGUCUGGCUUGGCCUGGCCUCUGAGAAAGAACAAACACAGACCUCACUGGAAGGAACCUGGAGAACGGGAGAGGAGAGGCUGCUGCUGUCUGCCCUCCCAGCAGCAGAUAUAAAGACAAUGGGCUUCUAAGUCCCCUAGAGUCCCAGCUGUGUAAUUUAAGGCGAGUUCAUCUCUCACAGCCUCAGUUUCCUCAUUUGCUGGCACCUGUCUUUCUCCUUCAUAGCCAUUGUCACUGUUGCAAUGAUAUCAACAAUGCUUACAUUUCAGAUAGAUCCCCAGCUGGGUUGAAAGGAACGUCAAGACCCUUCCUUUCUUAUGACCUAUGUAUCAACUCCCUUCUACCUUGCCUCCCUCCACUUGGAGCGAGUUCUAGUUGGUGAAAUGUAGCCAGAGGUUCCUGGAAAGGCUUUCCUUCUCAAGUAAAGCCUGGCUCAGAGAAAACCACUGGUCUCUUUCCUUUUCUUCCUCCUGACAUGAACAUGGGGCAGGAAGGAGCAUGGAGAAGACAAGAACAAGGCUCUCAGAAGGAAAUGGUGUGGCUGGAGCCAUGAGAACUGGUUGUGGAGGGGGUGAGGAAGGCAAAUAUAAUUUCUGACCUACGUAAUGAUGUAUGCACAAGAAGCCUCUCUUGAAUGUAUUAAUUCAGUAAACAGUUAUGGAGUCCUUACAAUGUGCUAGUGGGACUUUGAAGAUGAAUCCAAAUUUGGAUCCUGGCCUGGAAAGGCUCAAAGCCCAAUAUGGGAGUGAUUCUGAGCAGAAACAAAGGGGAACGUAUGUCUUCAUUGUGACUCAGCGAGCAAAGAGAUGGAGUCUUUUCCAAGAAGAAAGUGGGAGAUUUGGGACCACUGACAUAUUUGGCCCACUGAUUCCAUUCCCCUAGACCAACACGUGUUCAUCAAAUUGCAUCACUCUUAUGGGGAACUUAAUGCAACUCCGGUGCCCAUUGCAUUAGUUUUUGAUGAUGGAAUUCUCUUUGUGAACUUGAACUUGAGGGGUCUGGCUACCCCUCUGAGACUUCUUUUUUGAGAUAAAAUCAUAUAACAUAAAAUUCGCCCUUUUAAUGUGUACAA